rnacentral:rRNA from 1 species
UGUACCCGCUGACUUAAGCAUAUCAAUAAGCGGAGGAAAAGAAACCAACAGGGAUUGCCUCAGUAACGGCGAGUGAAGCGGCAACAGCUCAAAUUUGAAAUCUGGCGCCCUCUGGGCGUCCGAGUUGUAAUUUGAAGAGGGUGCUUUGGCGUUGACGGCGGUCUAAGUCCCUUGGAACAGGGCAUCACAGAGGGUGAGAAUCCCGUAUGUGGCCGCCAGCCUUCGCCGUGUAAAGCCCCUUCGACGAGUCGAGUUGUUUGGGAAUGCAGCUCUAAAUGGGAGGUAAAUAUCUUCUAAAGCUAAAUACCGGCCAGAGACCGAUAGCGCACAAGUAGAGUGAUCGAAAGAUGAAAAGCACUUUGGAAAGAGAGUCAAACAGCACGUGAAAUUGUUGAAAGGGAAGCGCUUGCAGCCAGACUUGCUCGCAGUUGCUCAUCCGGGCUCUCGCCCGGUGCACUCUUCUGCGGGCAGGCCAGCAUCAGUUUGGGCAGCCGGAUAAAGACCUCUGUCACGUAUCUUCCUUCGGGAUGACCUUAUAGGGGAGGUGUAAUGCGGCUAGCCUGGACUGAGGUCCGCGCAUUUUGCUAGGAUGCUGGCGUAAUGGCUGUAAGCGGCCCGUCUUGAAACACGGACCAAGGAGUCUAACAUCUAUGCGAGUGUUUGGGUGUCAAGCCCGGGCGCGCAAUGAAAGUGAACGGAGGUGGGAGCCCUCUCGGGGGCGCACCAUCGACCGAUCCUGAUGUCUUCGGAUGGAUUUGAGUAAGAGCAUAGCUGUUGGGACCCGAAAGAUGGUGAACUAUGCUUGAAUAGGGUGAAGCCAGAGGAAACUCUGGUGGAGGCUCGCAGCGGUUCUGACGUGCAAAUCGAUCGUCAAAUUUGGGCAUAGGGGCGAAAGACUAAUCGAAC